UUAAUAAAAAUCGGCGUGUUGCUCUUUUGUGAUGCUCCGGAGUUUGGGUCAUCUUAUAAUAAUACCUUUCGAGUGUUUUUUAAGUGGCUUAAAAUUGACAUCUUUUUGCGCAUUUUUUGACGUACAUAAAUUUUUUUAUUCGUUUAUUCUAAUGCCAAAAUCUAUUAGAUGCGACCAUAUCGUGUGGUUCCGUGUCUAUAAAUUUUUUCAUG
rnacentral:misc_RNA from 1 species